rnacentral:rRNA from 1 species
UACGUAGGGGGCGAGCGUUGUCCGGAUUUAUUGGGCGUAAAGAGCUCGUAGGCGGUUUGGUAAGUCGGAUGUGAAAUCUCCAGGCUCAACCUGGAGGGGUCAUUCGAUACUGCCAUGACUAGAGUUCGGUAGGGGUGUGUGGAAUUCCUGGUGGAGCGGUGAAAUGACGCAGAUAUCAGGAGGAACACCCGUAGCGAAGGCGGCACACUGGGCCGAUACUGACGCUGAGGAGCGAAAGCGUGGGGAGCGAACAGG